AAAUGGUCCUAAAGGAUCAGGUAGAAUUUCCUUGUAGCCUAGUGAGUUGGUUGUAAUCAGGCCGUUUCCAGGCAACGGGUCCCGUGGUUACUGGUUUCUUAAUGUCUCUAAACCCGGAAUCUCAUUCUGCAGAGGAGUGAGAAACCUUGGGAAAACAAAUACAGGAAAAAGUGAUUUCUCACUCCCAUCUCUUUUAAACAAGCUAACCUGUGAAUUGUUUUUGACUGAGUUUAUCCUCUAUUUGCAUUUACCAAAAUGUAUAAUAUUUCUAUGAAUAAUAUACCAGAGAAAUCAGACCUUGCCCUAGGGAAAUGAUGUCAGUGCAUUAGAGAGACAGCAGGUUUCUUUGCUGGAGAUGAGGAGAAUAUCUGUGAUUGAGUUGGAUGACCCAUCUGUGAUGCUAUAGACUUGCUUUGGCUUGCUCUUGUUCUUGCUUAACUGCAGAUUGUGAGCCCUCUAGGUGGAAAGAGGAAUAUUUGGUAUUGUCUGAACUAUAGAUAUCCAAGUGGUAGUGAGGACAAAGGGGAGUGUCUUAAGCAGAACCCAGAAAUAAUAGCUUUAUACCCCAGCAUUGUCAAAAACUCAUAAAUUGAUGCUUAAGGAACAAUUUUCAUUUUUUUCUGUACCUGUUUAUAGGUAAAAAUGAGGUAUUAACACUUGCUACUUUAUUUCCCAGGAAGCUGGGUAGCUGGGACCAUGACCUGAAAAUCCCAAGAAGUUUUGGUUUUCAGGUUCAGAGUGUGUGAGUGUGUGUGUUGUUGUUGUUGUUUGUGGUGGUUUUCACUGCCUGCUGAUAUUCCAUAACCCAAAAGCAUGUGUGGAAAUUGAUGGGGGGAGUGGAUGUAGGGUGUGAGGUUGAGAGAGUUGUGACUUAUCAAUAUGUAAAAUAAUUUUACUAAGGGUAUGAACUUGGUGAUUUUCAGUGACCCAGCUGCAACCAGCUAUCCCUUCCACAUAGCAUCUUCUCUGAGAUUACUGCUCAUCACUAAAUCACACAAACUUAAGGCUAGAAAUGACUUUAGAGACUCCCUAGUGAAAUGUUUUCCUGUUGUAAGAAAAGAAAUAGAAACCCUAAUUAGCCUGUAAUCCCAGCACUUUGGGAGGCUGACAUGGACAGAUCACUUGAGCUCAGGAGUUCAGGACCAGUCUGUGCAACAUAGUGAGUCCUCAUCUCUACUAAAAAAAAAAAAAAAAA
rnacentral:lncRNA from 1 species